CGUGCUCGAUCUGCUGCGGGCAGAUGAAGUGGAUGUGGCUGUCGUAGCCGCCGGCGGUGACGAUCAGGCCCUCGGCCGCCAGCACCUCGGUGCCGGGGCCGAUGAGAAUGUCGACGCCGGACUGGAUAUCGGGAUUGCCCGCCUUGCCAAUGCCCACGAUGCGGCUGCCCCGAAUGCCGAUAUCGGCUUUUACGAUGCCCCAGUGGUCAACGAUCAGCGCGUUGGUGAUGACCAGAUCGACCGCCCCUUCGGCCCGGCUGCGCUGGCUCUGGCCCAUGCCGUCGCGGAUG
rnacentral:sRNA from 1 species